rnacentral:rRNA from 1 species
UGUCUAAGUAUAAGCAAUUUAUACAGUGAAACUGCGAAUGGCUCAUUAAAUCAGUUAUCGUUUAUUUGAUAGUACCUUACUACUUGGAUAACCGUGGUAAUUCUAGAGCUAAUACAUGCUUAAAAUCCCGACUGUUUGGAAGGGAUGUAUUUAUUAGAUAAAAAAUCAAUGUCUUCGGACUCUUUGAUGAUUCAUAAUAACUUUUCGAAUCGCAUGGCCUUGUGCUGGCGAUGGUUCAUUCAAAUUUCUGCCCUAUCAACUUUCGAUGGUAGGAUAGUGGCCUACCAUGGUUUCAACGGGUAACGGGGAAUAAGGGUUCGAUUCCGGAGAGGGAGCCUGAGAAACGGCUACCACAUCCAAGGAAGGCAGCAGGCGCGCAAAUUACCCAAUCCCGACACGGGGAGGUAGUGACAAUAAAUAACGAUACAGGGCCCUUUCGGGUCUUGUAAUUGGAAUGAGUACAAUGUAAAUACCUUAACGAGGAACAAUUGGAGGGCAAGUCUGGUGCCAGCAGCCGCGGUAAUUCCAGCUCCAAAAGCGUAUAUUAAAGUUGUUGCAGUUAAAAAGCUCGUAGUUGAACCUUGGGCUUGGUUGGCCGGUCCAUCUUUCUGAUGCGUACUGGACCCAACCGAGCCUUUCCUUCUGGCUAGCCUUUUGGCGAACCAGGACUUUUACUUUGAAAAAAUUAGAGUGUUCAAAGCAGGCCUUUGCUCGAAUAUAUUAGCAUGGAAUAA